rnacentral:misc_RNA from 1 species
AGAGGAAGUAAAAGUCGUAACAAGGUUUCCGUAGGUGAACCUGCGGAAGGAUCAUUAAUGUUAAAAAAAAACCCCAUUUCCUCUACUUCGAGCGAAUGGUGUUAGGAUGAUGCUUAACCUGCUUGCGGGAGAGGCAUGUGAAGCGCGAGUUGUGUGAUCUUAAUGUACUUACGUAUCGCGAUCUAACCUCAGCGUUGGAGGUGAGCCGCGUGUCAUCGGCGGACACUCUGUCGGUUCGACAUUUAUUUCCUAAUGAAUGUGCUAUCGAGAAUGAUAUUAUUUGAAGACUCAAUAUGGGGGAUCACUUAGUCCUUAAAGCGAUGAAAGACAUAAUAAUUUGUGGAAAUUAAUGUGAGUUGUGAAAUUUUGUGAGCGUUGUAUUUUUGAAUGAAAAUUUCAGCGUGGAUGCUUCUGGGAUCUACGCUACAUUUGUUUCAGUAUAUAAAGUGUACUAUACGUCGUUACCUUUGCUGGAAUGCAAUGGUAUAAAAACAUUGAUAUGUGACAUAACUGAUGUGAUGACAUUUGAAUACCAGACGUGUAUCUGAAACAAGUGUGUUGACCCCCUGAAUUUAAGCAUAU